AUGGCUCAGGACGAACGCUGGCGGCGUGCUUAACACAUGCAAGUUGAACGGUAUGACAUGGAAGCUUGCUGAAGUGUCAUAUAGUAGCGGACGGGUGAGUAAUGCAUGAGAAGCUGCCAUUGGGAGGGGGACAACAGUUGGAAACGGCUGCUAAUACCCCGUAUGCCGGAGGGUGAAAGGGAGUAAUCCGCCCGAUGAGGUGCUCAUGUCCUAUCAGCUGGUUGGUGGGGUAACGGCCUACCAAGGCGACGACGGGUAGCCGGCCUGAGAGGGUGAACGGCCACACUGGAACUGAGAUACGGUCCAGACUCCUACGGGAGGCAGCAGUGGGGAAUAUUGGGCAAAUGGGGGCAACCCUGACCCAGCGACGCCGCGUGGGGGAAGACGGCCUUCGGGUUGUAAACCUCUUUUGUACGGGAAGAAGGAAGUGACGGUACUGUACGAAUAAGUCCCGGCUAACUACGUGCCAGCCGCAGC
rnacentral:rRNA from 1 species